GUAAAAUGCGUAUGACAGUCAUACACAUUACUGUUUAUAUUUUCUGCUUACUCAUAAUAAUAUAUUAGGCUAGUAUGUACAAACAUGUUUUUCAAACAAAAAAAAAUCUUUAAUAACACCGAGGAUUCGGAAUUUCCUAACUUUAUGCAAAACUAAACUCUGGUAACAUCGAAUAUUUAUUUUUAAUAUUUUUUUAGCAACGUGUGAAGCACGCGUAUCUCUUGUAUAAUGUUAUACUAUUGAUUGACAGAACUGCUUUUCCUGAUUAUUUUUAUUUUAUUUCGUAAAACGGUUGAACAAAAUAAUUUAUUUUUAUAUUGCUUUAGUUGGGUAUCUGUCAGGUGUGUAAAAUGAGAUAGUACUUUUCUUCUGCUUCUUUUCAGUAUGACAAAUGACAAUCGACUUCUUACGUUGCCAUUGCUGUCAAUGUCGAGUGCUUAAAAACUUAUUUUUAAGCAUUAGUGAUGUCAACCAAUUACAAGUUUUUGGCCACGGUUUAAACCGAUUAGUUUUUAAAGUAAGCCGAUUUGAGAAAUCUGAUAAUAAAAAAAAAGAAUGAAAAUGAUGAAAAGAAUUAAAAAAUGAUUAAGAGAAAUAAGAAGAAUUGUAUAUGAAAGAAAUGUUUAUUAAUCAAUCGAUAUGUAAUUUAAUGGAGUUCAUAAUUUUGGUUUCCAAAACAGAGUUGAUCUACUGCGGUGUUUUAAAGCCUGCUUCUACGUAACGUUAAUACUAUAUAUUCCGAUAUUGAGAAAGUACGCUCGGAAGAAAUUUCCUCAUGUAAAGUUCAUACUAGUAUUCACGGCAUUUCAUUGGAGGUCGUUGUACUUAAGCCUGUAUAAGUAUUAAGCUCAGCUGAAUGUGAUCCGUUACGCUGAAGAAACCACGUCCAGCGACUUUAUUUUAUUUUCCCACCCUUGUGCGUUUCCAAUGAACUUGUUGAACUCGAGUACGGUUACCAUGGUCCAUAUGCUUGCUCCUAAUGUUAUAGCUACCUACAUGCGUCUAAUAGCAGUGUUAGACUGUUAGUGGAUCACGUGGAUCUGUAUGCACGUGUCUAGGCCGUCAAGGGUGACAGGCUCCUCAAUGAGACAGUUCCUGGGAUUAGUCAGCAGUGGUCACGAUGAGGCGGUUUCUUAAGUUGUAGUAAUGUGUCUGGGAGGUUUAUAAGGGAGAUAAAUAACAUGAAUACGUAAUAGAUAAUAGAAAUUAUAUCUAGAGAAAUAUGUAAUAAAAAUGAAUUGGCUUUUUCUCUUUAUAUUGUAAAAUAAUGGUUUUUCUCUUCAUUAAGUUUAUCCUCUUUAUGAAACUAGAUCAAACUAGAUCCUAAAUGUCACAAACUAGACAAGAUUCAAGAACAAAUAAAUGGAUUUUCGUAAAUGAAAAA